CCCGCGGAGCCCCUGCGGAGCCGCCCCGCACGCGCGCGCGCGCCCCAGCCCCAGUCUCCGGCCUCGCGUGGGGCUGUCCGGGUGGCGGCGGGCGGUGGGGCAGGACGAGAAGCCAGCUCCACGUGCAGCUGCUGUGCGGAGCCCGUGAUUCCUCAGAACUUAGAUGUCGCUGUACCUGUAGAUACAGAAUGCAGCUGCUUUCCCUCUCCCAGUUGCUUCCUGCCUUGUGACCACACACCCGGGCUUGACAAAGUUCAGAUCAGAAAGAAGGAGGUUUCUGGUCACACACCAGUACAACAGAGUACCAAUUUUCUACAAGGUAAAUUUUCUUUCCGUCUUUUUUGUUGUUUUAAAGAGCGGGUGAUACUGAUGUGUGUUUUGGGACUCUGAGUCUGUGGCUUGAGGACUUGGUCUUUGGGGCAAAGCACCUGUGACCUGUGCACCCUGCGGCCGUUGAACUGCCCAGGAGACCCAGAGCCACCUUCUGUGGCCAUCUGGGUUGGGGUCUUCUCAAGUCCUCCACAGAAGCU
rnacentral:lncRNA from 1 species